rnacentral:rRNA from 1 species
UACAGAGGGUGCAAGCGUUAAUCGGAAUUACUGGGCGUAAAGGGUGCGUAGGUGGUUGAAUAAGUUAGGUGUGAAAGCCCCGGGCUUAACCUGGGAAUGGCGCCUAAUACUGUUUAGCUAGAGUACUGUAGAGGAAGGUGGAAUUUCCGGUGUAGCGGUGAAAUGCGUAGAUAUCGGAAGGAACAUCAGUGGCGAAGGCGACUUUCUGGACAGCUACUGACACUGAGGCACGAAAGCAUGGGGAGCAAACAGG